rnacentral:rRNA from 1 species
AGGAAUCUGCCUAUUAGUGGGGGACAACAUCUCGAAAGGGAUGCUAAUACCGCAUACGUCCUACGGGAGAAAGCAGGGGAUCACUUGUGACCUUGCGCUAAUAGAUGAGCCUAAGUCGGAUUAGCUAGUUGGUGGGGUAAAGGCCUACCAAGGCGACGAUCUGUAGCGGGUCUGAGAGGAUGAUCCGCCACACUGGGACUGAGACACGGCCCAGACUCCUACGGGAGGCAGCAGUGGGGAAUAUUGGACAAUGGGGGGAACCCUGAUCCAGCCAUGCCGCGUGUGUGAAGAAGGCCUUAUGGUUGUAAAGCACUUUAAGCGAAGAGGAGGCUCUUUUGGUUAAUACCCAGAAUGAGUGGACGUUACUCGCAGAAUAAGCACCGGCUAACUCUGUGCCAGCAGCCGCGGUAAUACAGAGGGUGCAAGCGUUAAUCGGAUUUACUGGGCGUAAAGCGCGCGUAGGCGGCCAAUUAAGUCAAAUGUGAAAUCCCCGAGCUUAACUUGGGAAUUGCAUUCGAUACUGGUUGGCUAGAGUGUGGGAGAGGAUGGUAGAAUUCCAGGU